GUUCGUAUAGUUUAAAAAAAAUUAUGGAAUGUGGUUUCUUGGAUAAUCUAGGUUUGCGGACAAG
rnacentral:tRNA from 1 species